AUAAGGACACUAAACCGGAGGUCCCGUCUCUUCAAGCUGUAACUAAAACCUGAACCGAAGGGACGUAAAAGAACCACUGGGGACGCAAUAAACCCUCUGGCAGUGACCACCCCCAGUGACAGUGCUUGCUUAAUGCCUCCUAGUAUUAGCGAAAGCUACCUAUAGGAGUAAAAGUACAAGACAAGACAAGACCAAAACCAGACAGUGUCGCGACAGAAAACCAGGCAACUGCACUAGGAGAGAGAUGGCAAGAAUCUGAUUGGCUUAGAAUAAUUUGACUGGCGGAACACAAAACCCUAAAAGACAAAACCAAUCGAUGUUUUGAAAAUGCACUUUCAGAAGAAUUGAUUUAGUGGGACAUUUGUUAAAUUUCUGAGGAAAAUGGCCUAUACUUUACGGAAUUUUGUGUUUCGGAAAACUCAUUUUAGUUUGGGACCUUGUUCAGUUUGUUAUACGAAAUGCAAAGGAACUUUUUGACUUGAGAAACACUUGAAGUCCUCAUGGGAAGCACGAUACAGAUCGGAAACUGUGGAGCUCAAGCGACGAAUUUUCUUUAGUUCUGAUAAGAUAAUACGUCGUCGACGCGAAAGGUACACAGCGAGAGGUCCACAGUGCAAUGUCCGGGGAUGGCGGGUGUUCUUUGGAAACGAGGCAUUUAUCUUGUUAUUGUGAAGCGUGUUUGGCAGGAGACUAUGAGAACUGCACCAACUCUGAUUAUGUCGACGCAUGGGAGACUCGUGAUCUAGAGCACGAUAAUUCUGGUGAGCGCACAACAACUACACUCUCCGAAACAGCUGACAAGAUCGAAACACUGAUCUCUCUCAUAAAGCGGGAUAGCGUGAUCGCGAUCGCUUCCGGUGACCCAGGUGAUGGCCCCGAAGUUUCAAAAGAGGAAACUAAGGGUGAUUGUGGCAUGCAAUUUCCUCCAGGAGCUAACGUGAUAAAGGGAUUAUUUUUUGUUAAGAAAAGAAGCCGAAAUGCACUUCAGGAAUUUCAUCUGAACACAUCACGCGCUGCAUUUGUCAAGGCCGCUACUGCAAGAUUUAUUUGUCCUAAAGAAGUUACUCCUGGCGUUUAUAGAGUGGCAUAGCGUCUCCAUUUAGACAUUCUUGAAGCAAUGGAGGUCUUUCCGUGACAAUCACGAACUCCAUACACAGCUGAUUUAGGGCUAGUUUAAAAACAUCGGGCUUUUUCCCGUUGUUGACACUAGGUAUUUUAGGCCCUUAUAGAAGUCGCAAAUGCUGUAAGAUAAUGUAUAUUGCGCUAGUUUGUAUUGAUUAUUGUUAUUUUUGCAUUGGUAAUUAGAAAUGAAACUAUAUUAAUACUAACACACAGCACCAUGAAUAAAUCGAUUUAUUUUCACUUUCACAGAA